AGCUCCAAUAGCGUAUAUUAAAGUUGUUGCAGUUAAAACGCCCGUAGUCAAACUUUUAGAGCAUUAAAGGGCCAGUUUCAAGGUUUAUCAUUUAUGCUAAGCUUUGGGCUGGCUUUUUAGGUUCUACUACUUUAUAUCCCUGGUCUUUGGGCAUUGGUGUUGCCUUUACUGGUAGUGCCAUUGUCAUUUCUCUUUGGAGAGGGCUAGGGAUGAUUACUUUGAAAAAAUUAGAGUGUUCAAAGCAGGCUUCUACGCCUGAAUACAUUAGCAUGGAAUAAUAAAAUAGGACUUUGGUUUUAUUUUGUUGGUUUCUAAAACUGAAGGAAUGAUGAAUAGGGUUGGUUGGGGUCAUUAGUAUUUUAUUGCUAGAGGUGAAAUUCUUGGGUUUGUGAAAGACUAACUUCUGCGAAAGCAUUUGACAAGGACAAUCUCAUUG
rnacentral:rRNA from 1 species